UGGAGCUCGUCGAACAGCGGCCGUUCCUGCCAUGGUGGUUGCCUUCGCGCUUGAAGAACUUCAAUCAGCUGUAGACAGUCAGAUUUGAGUACUAUAGAUGCGAUAAGAAGCCCCUGCUAUUUCAGACGAUUUAGGGUUAAGGGUAGAAGGAGCCAUCAAUAUUACAUUUGAUAAGGCCUGGGUCUGGCGGUUGCUAGUAGUGUGCUGAAGGAGCGAGGGAGGCUGUUGUACGCGUACCUGCUGUUUGGGAACCUUCUGGAUCAGAAAGAUUGGAAAUCCGACACUGAGCCAAGGCAUCGACAACAGCCCGGUUGGGAUCAAGAUGUAGACCACAGAAGACACUAUUAUUGCGCAGACGCCACGGCUGCCAUAAAACAUGAGCAAUCAUGGGUAAUCGAGGAAACUGAUAUGAGGGAGUAGUUCUCCCCUGCUGAUGCAAGUUUAAGGGAGUAGGUCUAAAAGGCAGAAACGCUUCAGAAGAAUUGAGAGAGUCGGUAAUUUUGCCUUUAGCUUUGGCAUGUGCAGGAAUCAAAGCUGUUGUAAUGGCCUGCCCCUAGGAAACAUAGCGUGAGGAGGAUUUAGAGGGUGCUGCUCUGUCGCAGCAGGGGACUGCCCUUGAAGAGCUGCAUUGGUUCAUCCUCCCAUAUCUCAACCUCUUGGGCGGAGCAGAGACGUCCCAAGCGUUGACACAAAGCAGCCAUGCGAACUGAUUCCUCAGGUUCGUCCGAAGCCAUGACCAAACAAUCCUCAAAUGAACAUAAUUCAGUGGCUUGUAAAGUGAAGACCCAGUCACCAACAGCAACAAUUGCCAAAGGAAUAAAUUAAGAGGCAAGACACAGCAGGAUGAGACAGGUUGUGAGGUAAUUCACCUCUGUGCAGUGCGCCGAUGACCUCCGAUGAUGAAAUCCAGAACAUGCAAACAUGAAGCAGCACUCCAGGGACAGCGAGAAGUGGGGGUAUAAGGAGAUUAAAGGAGGAGGAAGCUAUCUGUUGCAGAACCCAUGGUAAUUUGCACAAGAACAACUGGUUGCCGAAGCUCUACGUCGACGGGAAGAGUGUGCUACCAUGGGUGGUAGACGAAGCUCUACAUUUGAGGAGAGGGAGUACUACCAUGAGCGGUAGAAGCAUACAAGAGUUUAGAGACUCAUAUCUAAUGGGUUGGUGUUUUGGCUCAUAUUCAUGUUUUAAUGAAAACAAACGACAGGAAUUUACAUAGCUUAAUCGAAAAUGCGGUAAUGGGAGUUCAUUGUGCGAAUGCUAA